UUGGAGAAGAACGUGCGUGAGAGUAACUGUUCACGCAGUGACGGUAUCCAACCAGAAAGUCACGGCUAACUACGUGCCAGCAGCCGCGGUAAUACGUAGGUGGCAAGCGUUAUCCGGAUUUAUUGGGCGUAAAGCGAGCGCAGGCGGUUGCUUAGGUCUGAUGUGAAAGCCUUCGGCUUAACCGAAGAAGUGCAUCGGAAACCGGGCGACUUGAGUGCAGAAGAGGACAGUGGAACUCCAUGUGUAGCGGUGGAAUGCGUAGAUAUAUGGAAGAACACCAGUGGCGAAGGCGGCUGUCUGGUCUGCAACUGACGCUGAGGCUCGAAAGCAUGGGUAGCGAACAGGAUUAGAUACCCUGGUAGUCCAUGCCGUAAACGAUGAGUGCUAGGUGUUGGAGGGUUUCCGCCCUUCAGUGCCGGAGCUAACGCAUUAAGCACUCCGCCUGGGGAGUACGACCGCAAGGUUGAAACUCAGAGGAAUUGACGGGGGCCCGCACAAGCGGUGGAGCAUGUGGUUUAAUUCGAAGCUACGCGAAGAACCUUACCAGGUCUUGACAUCUUGCGCUAACCUUAGAGAUAAGGCGUUCCCUUCGGGGACGCAAUGACAGGUGGUGCAUGGUCGUCGUCAGCUCGUGUCGUGAGAUGUUGGGUUAAGUCCCGCAACGAGCGCAACCCUUGUUACUAGUUGCCAGCAUUAAGUUGGGCACUCUAGUGAGACUGCCGGUGACAAACCGGAGGAAGGUGGGGACGACGUCAGAUCAUCAUGCCCCUUAUGACCUGGGCUACACACGUGCUACAAUGGACGGUACAACGAGUCGCAAGCUCGCGAGAGUAAGCUAAUCUCUUAAAGCCGUUCUCAGUUCGGACUGUAGGCUGCAACUCGCCUACACGAAGUCGGAAUCGCUAGUAAUCGCGGAUCAGCAUGCCGCGGUGAAUACGUUCCCGGGCCUUGUACACACCGCCCGUCACACCAUGGGAGUUUGUAACGCCCAAAGUCGGUGGCCUAACCUUUAUGGAGGGAGCCGCCUAAGGCGGGACA
rnacentral:rRNA from 1 species